CAGCCAAUGGGGCAUGGAGUCACCAUGAAGAUUCUCCACUCCACUCACUGAGACUCUGCAACAAGGGCCAUUUGAUAAGCCCAGAAGGCAGUGGGUACUAGGCCUGCUUCUCCAACCAGACGAACUCCCCAGAUCAACACAUCUGGAGCCUGGAUUGAAGCAACUCCUAAGCUGGUGACUUCCCAGCCAUGGCCUGACCACAUCCCCACUCCAUGCUUAUAGCCAUCUAUGUCCUAAGGCAUCAAGUAAGGACUGGUGCUCUGUGAGAACAAGGACCGCUUCUGUCUCCUUCAUAGUUAUCACCCCAGCCUAGCACAGUACUCUGAACACAAUGAAGAACUCAAACUUUUUUAAAAGCUA
rnacentral:lncRNA from 1 species